AUGACCCGCUUGCAUCAUAGGCGUGUCUCAAUGGCUAGGUCGAACAGGUCUUCUUCUAGUGCCUCCGUAGGAAACAAUGGAUCAACUCAGUCAACUGUACAGGCUAAAAAGCCUAGAACACCAAGAACUAGGACUACAGCCGGUCUCAGACUAGAGGAAAUUGACCGACCGCUUAUAGUUCCCAUUGGCAUGGCAUGGGAAAGGCACCCAUACAGUGCUCGUGAUCCAUCAACGGUGUUAGGUGCCUUAGUGCGCCAGAUGUAUCCACCGCCAAUUGGUCCAAAAAAUGAUCAGAAACCGGUAUUGUGUUGGGAGGACUACAAGUGGUCCCCUGGUCCAGAAGUAAGAACAGCAGCUUCCAAAAUAGUGGAAGAAUUUUGGUGGCGUUUCAAGUGUGACCCAUCGGAGCAAGAGAAGGCAGAUGGUGUUUUGGAGGAGAACUUAACUAGGAAAGUGAAGCAGAUGCUACAUGAGGAAAAGGCGGCAGCCAUCAAAAGAUUAAAGAAGAAGGGACAAUUGCCUACAGAACUAACAGAAGAGGAUGAGGAUGGGUUAUCUUUAACCAACAAAAGGAAUAGACUUGCUAAUGGGGACACGGUCUUCCAUUGCAGUGGUGCUAGAAAUGUUGUCGCCACAUGUCAAUUUCUGAAACUCAAAACCGGGAAAGACCCUGGAAUUUCUGGUGCUUGGCUUCACACGCACAAAUUGCAUCGAGGGACUGAUGAAGAGCAGAUAUGCAGUCAAAGAACUGCUGAUCAUUGGGAGGAUUUUGAUAAGGCAAUGAAAAAUGCCCAUGGAGAAAAUUGGGAAGAGGAGCACCCGGAUUUAGAUGGACAAAUCAUCUACGAAGCAGCAGGCAGAAUGCCACAUGGCAGGCUGGGAAUUGCUAAUGAGUUGUUUAGCAAAGCAGAGAAGGCGAAGUUUAAGUCUAAAAGGGCGAUGGCCUCACAGCCGGUGCAAUCUGCUAAGGAGGAGCGUCUAGAAAGAGAAAACAAAUAUUUGAAGCAGGAGAUCAAUCGUCUUCGAGGCAUUGAGCUUGUUGUUCAGUCUUUGGCUGAGAAAGGGGGAGUCGACUUUGAUGGCAUAAUGCAAUCAGCAACAGAUGACUUGUCUCCAUCAUAUUCUGAAGGCGGAUUUCAAAGGGGACGAGGUGAUGUGCCUCAACACCAAACCGAAAAGGGAAUGGGAAGCAGGACUGGAGGCAGUACGAGUCAUGGAAAUGAUGAUGAGGACGACGACUAUGGCAAUGGGGGAUAUGGUAACUAUGGCGAGGGUGAUCUGUAUGGUGAUGAGCACUAUGAUCACUAUGGUGAUGGGGAAUAUGAUGACUAUGGAGAUGAGGAUGACUAUGUCUAUGGCUAUGGCGGUGGCGAUGGCGAUGAUGAUGAUUGGCUAUAA
rnacentral:rRNA from 1 species